rnacentral:rRNA from 1 species
UGGGGAAUUUUGGACAAUGGGCGAAAGCCUGAUCCAGCAAUGCCGCGUGUGUGAAGAAGGCCUUCGGGUUGUAAAGCACUUUUGUCCGGAAAGAAAUCCUUGGCUCUAAUACAGUCGGGGGAUGACGGUACCGGAAGAAUAAGCACCGGCUAACUACGUGCCAGCAGCCGCGGUAAUACGUAGGGUGCAAGCGUUAAUCGGAAUUACUGGGCGUAAAGCGUGCGCAGGCGGUUUGCUAAGACCGAUGUGAAAUCCCGGGCUCAACCUGGGAACUGCAUUGGUGACUGGCAGGCUAGAGUAUGGCAGAGGGGGGUUAGAAUUCCACGUGUAGCAGUGAAAUGCGUAGAGAUGUGGAGGAAUACCGAUGGCGAAGGCAGCCCCCUGGGCCAAUACUGACGCUCAUGCACGAAAGCGUGGGGAGCAAACAGGAUUCAGAUACCCUGGUAGUCCACGCCCUAAACGAUGUCAACUAGUUGUUGGGGAUUCAUUUUCCUUAGUAACGUAGCUAACGCGUGAAGUUGACCGCCUGGGGAGUACGGUCGCAAUGAUUAAAACUCAAAUGAAUUGACGGGGUCAUAGCUG